GAGGCAGAGGCAAGGACUUUGAGGCCUUAGUCACCAUCCAUGACAUCACCUCAUCUCACUUCCUAUAAGAGCCAGGGAUCUGGCAGAUGUCUGCAGACCUCCUGACUCAGGCCUGCCCUUUCAGCUCUUCUACCCCACCCUUGGGGACUGCUGGCUGAAGAGGGUCAAGGUGAGGUCAGAGGAGGCUGGUUGGUGGAGGUGGCAUGGGCAGAGAGGUUCCUUGUGUUUGGUGUUGGGUCAAAACACUGGGAAGCUAGCUCCAGAGAACCUUCCUUCUCCAUCCAGCUACCUGCCAGUCCUUUCCCCCUCCAUAACCUCAUAUUUCCUUGUUCCCCCGAACUGUCAUGCUAGCCACCCAUCCUUAGUGGGCAUGGCCAAGCGGGUAGAACAGCAGCCCGCUGGCCCCAGACUUGAUGAUGAAGCCUAGAGACUGGGUACUGAGGAACAGAUUCAGGAGACUGACCAUGGCUGAUGUCUGGUCCAGUCAGAUCAUGCCCUGACCCCUUUCCAGCUGGGAAGACAUCCUGGCUCAGGGGAGGAGUAGGUCUAAUGAUAGCUGUGCAGGCUUUGUGCUCUGAGGUCUGUGCCCGUGUACCACCCCAGCUUUCCUACCUGGGAUGAGUUUGGGCUUAACACAUCAGCGCCCACCCUGACAUGCUGUCAGUGGUGUUAAAGUGCAAGGAUGCACAGGUGGGGACCAAUAAGCCAGAGGUGUGAAGGGCAAGGGUAUUCUCUGAAGGAGUGGAGGUGGGAGCUAGGGAUUCUCCCUACGGGUACCACAGCCUCUCCCAGCAGCAUCUCCAGCCAGGUGGGGCUGUCACUGUACUAGCUGUGAGUCCUGUGCUAGGACCCCCUCACUCCAGUUCGAUGCACUGGGGUCCCAAGCUUCCUUGUUAAGUCUGGAAAGAAAUCUGGGUACACUUGACCCCUGGGCCAGUGAUGACGGACCGCCCAUCCCCUGUGCUUUGUUAGGCUCUUGUGUUGUCCCUGAUGCCAUUAUUGUGCCCUUGUAUCAGUAUUACCCCUGCCUUUCAGUGCACACUUUGUCUCAUUCCUUUCUCACCUUCCCCUGAAAUGAAUAAAGUCUCCCAGCUCCCAUCGUAUGGGCUGGCAGAAAUCACGUG
rnacentral:lncRNA from 1 species